GACGUAGGGGGCAAGCGUUGUUCGGAAUUACUGGGUGUAAAGGGUGCGUAGGCGGUGUGGCAAGUCGGGAGUGAAAUCUCUGGGCUCAACCCAGAGACUGCUUCCGAAACUGCUGUGCUUGAGUGUGAGAGAGGCUCGUGGAAUUGCAGGUGUAGCGGUGAAAUGCGUAGAUAUCUGCAGGAACACCCGUGGCGAAAGCGGCGAGCUGGAUCACUACUGACGCUGAGGAACGAAAGCUAGGGGAGCAAACAGG
rnacentral:rRNA from 1 species